AGAGAGAAGAGCAGGGCUUAGAAGAGCUGAGGAGAGCUGCUCAGCAGGGCAAAGCAGUAGACCAGAAGCGCUCCUGAAGACUUCCAUCAGUGGGGAAUGGUGGAUGGCUCCAGCAGCUAGGCUCUCGGUGUGCAGCACGGCACACGGCAUCCAGACCCUGGGAGCUGCAUGAGAUGGGUCGGGUCUGCAACCUCUGCUUUCGGCCAGAAACACAGUACACAGGACGGUGCAUGGAGUAGGACCUUUGGAGCACUUGGGCGGCUCAGGUCCUCAACCCCCGAAAUGAGGCUGGGAGCUCAGUGCAGGAGGUGCUGCAUGGAGGGUCUGGGAGUGAACUGGGCCUGGUGCUGCACAAGGCAGCCCAGGCCUCCGAACCAUAGCAAAAGGUUGAGUCCAGGGAGCCGGACGGUGAUCGGGCUACUAAGCCAGCAGACAGAGCCAAGUCGGAGGCCCCAGAAGCCCUGCAUAGGGGUGCCCUGUUCCAGGGGACAGCGACCCCCAUGAAGUCCACUGCAGGCCUCUUGCACCAGAACAGAUCACUAUAUGGCAUUUCCCCUCACAGCCAUCAUCUCAGAGCUGAACUACUAACUGUGCAGCAACAUGCCCCUAUUGCCAAAGAACGUGUGUAUCCAGAAUUGGGCUCCUCAGUCACCUGAGGACUCAUCAAGCCUGAUGGACAUCAUCCUCAACUCCGAGGGACUGCUGACGAAUUUGCUGGCAAGUUGACAUCUUUCCCUUUUGGCUGGGAUGAGUCUCUUGUGAUCAUGAGGCCCAGGCUGUCCCCUCUACUGAGUACCAAGCAAGCCUAUGUUUUACCAAGGUAUGCAAACGGUAAAUUUAUCUGUGAUUACAUAAAAGAUGACCUUUCUUUGCAUACUAAAGUCCAGGGAUCCAUUACAACGGGUACUUCAGACUGCCUGCAGCUUAGGGGUAGAACCAGACCUGCCUGUCACUAGCACUAGGAGGAAUACAUUGAAAACUGAAGUUCCUUCUAGUUGUGAUCAUUUCCACAUCCAGGAAAAGCUGUAUCUACUUUCUUAAACUGCAGAUUGUGCUGGAUACAUUUUGAGGAAAAACAGAACAUUUUUUCCAACUGCAGGGUGUAAUAAUUUAUACUAAGGGGAAAUAAACAAUUGGAUGUCUAUUUUAUUCUCUACUAUGGAUGAUCCAUUUUAUCUCCAGGGUGGGUCAGAUCAGUGGACCUCAUUAAUUAAAAAAGGAGAUAACCAUGUGAUUCAA